rnacentral:rRNA from 1 species
AAUAAACGUUGGCGGCGUGCCUAACACAUGCAAGUCGAGCGAGAAAGUUCCUUCGGGAGCGAGUACAGCGGCGGACGGGUGAGUAACACGUGGGAAUUUUACCUUUUAGUGAAGAAUACUCUCGAGAAAUCGAGGUUAAUGCUGCAUACGUCCCUUCGGGGAGAAAGAUGGCCUUCUUUGCUGUCGCUAAAAAGAUGAGCCUGCGGACUAUUAGCUAGUUGGUAGGGUAAAGGCCUACCAAGGCGAUGAUGGAUAGCCGGCCUGAGAGGGUGUUCGGCCACAUUGGGACUGAGACACGGCCCAGACUCC